GGAGGGGUGUCCGAGCGGCCGAAGGUGACAGACUCGAAAUCUGUUGUAGCGCAAGCUACCGGGAGUUCGAAUCUCCCCCCCUCCGCCA
rnacentral:tRNA from 1 species